AGUGAACGCUGGCGGUAGGCCUAACACAUGCAAGUCGAACGGCAGCACAGUAAGAGCUUGCUCUUACGGGUGGCGAGUGGCGGACGGGUGAGGAAUACAUCGGAAUCUACUUUUUCGUGGGGGAUAACGUAGGGAAACUUACGCUAAUACCGCAUACGACCUACGGGUGAAAGCAGGGGAUCUUCGGACCUUGCGCGAUUGAAUGAGCCGAUGUCGGAUUAGCUAGUUGGCGGGGUAAAGGCCCACCAAGGCGACGAUCCGUAGCCGGUCUGAGAGGAUGAUCAGCCACACUGGAACUGAGACACGGUCCAGACUCCUACGGGAGGCAGCAGUGGGGAAUAUUGGACAAUAGGCGCAAGCCUGAUCCAGCCAUACCGCGUGGGUGAAGAAGGCCUUCGGGUUGUAAAGCCCUUUUGUUGGGAAAGAAAAGCAGCAGGUUAAUACCCCGCUGUUCUGACGGUACCCAAAGAAUAAGCACCGGCUAACUUCGUG
rnacentral:rRNA from 1 species